rnacentral:rRNA from 1 species
GAUGAACGCUGGCGGCGUGCCUAAUACAUGCAAGUCGAACGCGCAGCGAAAGGUGCUUGCACCUUUCAAGCGAGUGGCGAACGGGUGAGUAACACGUGGAUAACCUGCCUCAAGGCUGGGGAUAACAUUUGGAAACAGAUGCUAAUACCGAAUAAAACUUAGUAUCGCAUGAUACAAAGUUAAAAGGCGCUACGGCGUCACCUAGAGAUGGAUCCGCGGUGCAUUAGUUAGUUGGUGGGGUAAAGGCUUACCAAGACGAUGAUGCAUAGCCGAGGUGAGAGACAGAUCGGCCACAUUGGGACUGAGACACGGCCCAAACUCCUACGGGAGGCUGCAGUAGGGAAUCUUCCACAAUGGGCGCAAGCCUGAUGGAGCAACGCCGCGUGUGUGAUGAAGGCUUUCGGGUCGUAAAGCACUAUUGUAUGGGAAGAAAUGCUAAAAUAGGGAAUGAUUUUAGUUUGACGGUACCAUACCAGAAAGGGACGGCUAAAUACGUGCCAGCCGCCGCCGUAA